CGCAUUUAAAUGAAAAGUUAUGCCACGUAAAACGACGUCGUUUCAUGCUCUUUGCUUGUCACCAAAAAUAAGCCCUAAUUUUGCUCUCCUCACACGCUGCCUCUCUCUCCACUCACACUACACUCUCCAUUCACGCUGAAGACUCAACCUCGGCCCCCUUCCUCGCCGAACUUGGUAGCACCACCACCACCAUGGACGACGAAAAGGCUCGCUCACUCUGUGAUUUCUGGUAUUCCUCCGCUCUCCAAUCUUCCGAUUUCAUGGAUUUUUCCCCACAUUUACAAGAAAAAUGGCUUUUCACUAUAAGAAAAAUCGAUUCGUUUCACAGCUCACUGACUCAGUCCCCUUUCUCUCUCAAUCAAUCCCCUAAAUCUAAUAGUGGUAUGUCUCUCUCUCUCUCUCUCUCUCUCUCUCUCUAACGGUGGCUGUUUCAACAUUGAUAUAGUGUAUGGUUGUAUGCAAUUUGGCCUCCCCUUGUUUCCAUCUCUUCUCAUGUUGGUGACAUAGCUGCCUUCUCUCACAUUGGUGAUAGCGACGGCGUCUCUCGACAACUGUCUAGGAGUUUGUUCCCGUCGGUGAACCACUACUCUUCGCAGCCGAGUUUUGACGAGUCGCUCCUCAAAGUCAUCGAGUCGAAGAUCAAGUGCGCCAAAGAGUCUAACGACAAGGAUGAAGUUAGAGAGAGGUGUUUGUUGGGGGAUUUGAUGAUGUGGAGUUCAAUCACGUAUUUGAAAGAAAAUCUCCACAAAAUCACACUCGACGUCCACGACGAUGAUAGCGAUGAAGGGCUUCAGAUCUACAAUUCGCCAGAUCGAAAAGGUCAUCCCCACACUGACCACUGAUUCCCUUACUGUUUCACGCAUUCAAGUCUUGCUUCGCAUUCUCCCAUGGCCAAUGGACUGGAUUCCCCUUACAACGAUGAGAAUUGUGUGAAUUUGGAAUAGAACUCCCUAUGCAAGUGAAAAAUAGCGAGCUAUGUGAACUCCCUAUGCAAUGUCCACAUUGCUAGGCCCACUAUGUAGCAAAUUGUGAAGGAGAUGAUUGACAAGAUGGUCUAUGCAAUAAGUUUGUAUUUGGUUAUAUUAGUUCUCAUAACUAUUGAGUACUUUGAUGUUUCUUUCAAAAGAUUGCAACUUUUUGUAUCCAUUUACUGCUUGUGCAGGUGAAAUUUGUUCGAGUCACAAAGAGAGUACAUGAAGCAUAUUUUGCUUUGCCAUAAUGACUCACAAAGGUAUAUUCCCAUUAAACACUUGUAGUUGAUUGAAUGAAUGUUUCAACCAUCAAUCUUGGUUUGAUGGUAAUAUUUAACUAGCUGAUCAAAACAAUGAUAAAACAUAAGUAGCAAGUGAUUUUUUCUUGAUCCUGACACUGGUAGUGAUCUCACUUGGCUUCAAUGUGAACCUUGUCGUGGCUGCCCUAAGGGGCCUCACCCAUUUUACCGACCAAGCAAUGACCUGGUGGCUUGUAGGGACCCCCUUUGUGCCUCCUUACACUCUUCCGAAGACUACAAAUGCGAUGAACCAGAGCGAUGUCCUUAUGAAUUGGAAUAUGCAGACGGGGUUCCUUUGGUCUGCUUGUGAAGGACACUUUAUCCCUUAAUCUCACAAAUGGAAUUCGUGUUAGCCAUCGUGUGGCUAUAGGAUUGGUAACACUUUUCAUUUCUGUUUUCUGAUUUUCUUCUCAAAUUGAUUUGUCUUGCAUUUGAUUCCCUUCCUUACAAAUACGAUGAUCCUAGAAACCAGCCUCAAAGUCCUCGUCAAUAUACUUAAGUGCUUCUAUUUGGAGAUAGUGCCAAGAAAACCUUAUCUCUAUUAGUAAAUUGCCAAAAAUUAACGUCUCAAAAAGGUUUGACAACCUCAGUUUUUUAUUUGAACAAAGUUCCAUUUGAAAAGAAUCCAAGCUAUAUGCUAUGCUAGAAGUUUACAAGUAGACCCUUGCAUCGAAAUAAGACAAUUAGUUUAUAACUAAUGAGUUUCAUUGCUUCAUACUCUUCAAGGUGCAUCCAACAUGAAUAAUUAGUUACACUCUAACCUCUCUCUUAUUGCAGAUUUUGAUAUAAUCAAACCCCAGGGACCUCUAAUCAUCCCUUGGACGGAGUACUAGGCCUUGGCAAGGGAAAAACCAACAUCGUGUCAUAGCCACAGAAUCAAGGGCUGGUGAGGAAUGUGGUUGGCCAUUGUUUAAGUAGUCGAGGAGGAGGGUUUCUUUUCUUCGGAGAUGAUAUAUAUGAUUCUUCGCAAGUGGUUGGGGCACCAAUGUCACCCGAUUACUCGCACUAUUAACAUGGGUAUGCGGAGCUGACUAUUGGUGGAAAAGGGACAGGGUAUAAGAAUAUUCUUGUGCUUUUUAACAGUGGGAGUUCUUACACUUACCUGAAUUCUCAAGCAUAUCAAGCUUUCAUUUCUUCGGUGAGUUCCAAAUUACUUCUGAAUGUUUCAGAUAUGAGUCGCUUCGUAUCAACUAUAACAUUUUUAUCCUCCAACAUUUUGUACUCCCUCCCCUUAUCUUUUUUGUUGAAUGUUUUGAAAUAUUUGCCCUACAAAAACUAUUUGAGAGCAUUUGAUUGUCAGGGAAAAAAACUGGGAUAUUAUUUUCUUGAAAAUUCCUUUAGUUGUGGGCCCGAUUGAAAGGCAUGACGCUUGAAAGGGGACAAUUAAAGUGGCAUGGAGGGAGUAGUUAUGUUAGUGACAAAACUCUCCCACGUCUCU